UACGAAGGGUGCAAGCGUUACUCGGAAUUACUGGGCGUAAAGCGUGCGCAGGCGGUUUGUUAAGCCAGAUGUGAAAGCCCCGGGCUCAACCUGGGAACUGCGUUUGGUACUGGCAAGCUAGAGUACGGCAGAGGGGGGUGGAAUUCCACGUGUAGCAGUGAAAUGCGUAGAGAUGUGGAGGAACACCGAUGGCGAAGGCAGCCCCCUGGGCCGAUACUGACGCUCAGGCACGAAAGCGUGGGGAGCAAACAGG
rnacentral:rRNA from 1 species